CCUACGGGCGGCAGCAGUGAGGAAUAUUGGUCAAUGGACGAGAGUCUGAACCAGCCAAGUAGCGUGAAGGAUGACUGCCCUAUGGGUUGUAAACUUCUUUUAUAUGGGAAUAAAAUGUUCCACGUGUGGGAGUUUGUAUGUACCAUGUGAAUAAGGAUCGGCUAACUCCGUGCCAGCAGCCGCGGUAAUACGGAGGGUCCGGACGUUAUCCGGAGUUAUUGGGUUUAAAGGGAGCGUAGGUGGAUUGUUAAGUCAGUUGUGAAAGUUUGCGGCUCAACCGUAAAAUUGCAGUUGAAACUGGCAGUCUUGAGUAGAGUAGAGGUGUGCGGAAUGCGUGGUGUAGCGGUGAAAUGCUUAGAUAUCACGAAGAACUCCGAUUGCGAAGGCAGCUCACUGGACUGCAACUGACACUGAGGCUCGAAAGUGUGGGUAUCAAACAGGAUUAGAUACCCUUGUAGUC
rnacentral:rRNA from 1 species